CACGUAGGGGCCAAGCGUUGUCCGGAUUUAUUGGGCGUAAAGAGCUCGUAGGCGGCUCGGUAAGUCAGGUGUGAAACCUCCAGGCUCAACCUGGAGACGCCACCUGAUACUGCUGUGGCUAGAGUCCGGUAGGGGGGCGUGGAAUUCCUGGUGUAGCGGUGAAAUGCGCAGAUAUCAGGAGGAACACCAGCGGCGAAGGCGGCGCUCUGGGCCGGAACUGACGCUGAGGAGCGAAAGCGUGGGUAGCAAACAGG
rnacentral:rRNA from 1 species